CAUCAGGAAGUCCUAUAGAAAAGACUCCCGCUACAAUUGCUCCAGGGCUGCUAAAAUGAACUUGAAGGCUGAGACCAGUGUCCCGCAUGUAGAGCAGGUUGUUUCCCAAGCAAAGCAGCAAUAGCCACUCCAUACACGUGCACGUGCACAGUCUACAGGAGCCAAGGGGAAGGAAGAGACCUGUUUCUUCAUCUGAGGGAAAACUACCAGAGGUGUGGGAACUGGGACUUAGAGAAAUGGAGCAAAGGAUCCAGAGCCAGCCAGCAGCUGGGGCAGCACCUGGUCACAUGGUAGCAAAGUGGUUGUGGAGUCUGGACAGCCUACCACAGAGUAUCCUAGCAGGAGCAGAGCCUAAUAAUGAAGUCUUCUUGAAUUCAAUGCCCAGCUCUCACUGGCUGUAGAACAGGAAGUCAGAGGGAGAGAAUAUGAUGUAUAGAAGGUUGUUGAGAUGGAGGAGGCCGCAGGGCAAGGUCCUAAGAGCAGCCUCAAGAUGCUGAGCAUGGUACUCUGCUGAUAGUCAGCAAGAAAAAUGGGACCUCAGUCCUACAACCCAAGGAAAUUGAAUUUGGGCAACCACAUGCACAGGCUCUGGAGUGUUCUUCCUAAGAGUUACCAGACAAGACCUAAUCCAGUUGCCACCUUUGACUUCAAAUUUGUGAGACUCCAAGCAAAGAACCCAGUUUGUGAAGAAUCGUCAUCUCCACGUUGGAGAUGAAGAAAGCGAGAUGGGAAAUAAUGUGACUCGCCAACCUACCCCAAGCGAUGCUACAUAUAAGAGAGAUCAUACAGUAUUUGUCAUUCUAUGAUUUAUUUCACUAAGCGUGAUGCUCUGAAGGUCCAUCUAUGUCAUCACAAAUGGCAGGAUCUCCAUCUCUAUGACUCAACAAUGUAUACCACAGGGCUGUAAUCUAGUAACAACAGUAAGAAUCUGAAGGUUCUCGAGAGAGACAAGUGAGAUAAUGGCUAAGAGCCAAAACGUCUUUUUGAAAACCAUGAAGUAUUUUUGAAACUCUCUGGCACCAUUAUUUCUAAUAUUAACUACAAUACAGCUAAAGAAAUGAUUUGCUCAACAUUCCACAGCAUGAGUGAUUCAGACAGAGCUGGGCUGGAACAUUCCUGGUGCUUCUCUGAGUUGCCAAAAUACUGCUGAGCAGCGAUGCAGGCUGCUGGAGCCUCCGGGAAUGCCGUGCCUUUCCCAGUAUUCACACUGUGAUACAGCCACAGGUCUUUCAGCAAAGAGCAAUGUUUUAAUCAAAGCUGCCCGGGCUUUGCCGUCUUCAUCCUUCAUGCCCUUGCUCAGAGGUCUGGUAACUCUCAGAGCUGCUCUGGAUUUCUGAGACACUCCAUAUCAACAGUCAGCUCUUUGAGUGCAGACUGGAUGCCCUACGCACAGAUUUUGCUAGGAGCUAUUGAGAAUUUCAGAAGAGGGAGAAAAAACGCCUACACAGGAGUUGAAACACAUGAGAUAGAGGUGUAAUAUUUACCACGAGUAAACUGUGGGGCCCCAGACAAGGCCCUGGGAUUGAAUUCAGAUUCCAUAUCUGCAGAAUAAAAGCAAUCAGAUUAUUCCUGAGAU